AGAGUUUGAUCCUGGCUCAGGACGAACGCUGGCGGCGUGCUUAACACAUGCAAGUCGAACGAAAAGACGGAAAGAGCUUGCUCUUUCCGGAAUUGAGUGGCAAACGGGUGAGUAACACGUAAACAACCUGCCUUCAGGAUGGGGACAACAGACGGAAACGACUGCUAAUACCGAAUAAGUUCCAAGAGCCGCAUGGCCCAUGGAAGAAAAGGUGGCCUCUACCUGUAAGCUAUCGCCUGAAGAGGGGUUUGCGUCUGAUUAGCUGGUUGGAGGGGUAACGGCCCACCAAGGCGACGAUCAGUAGCCGGUCUGAGAGGAUGAACGGCCACACUGGAACUGAGACACGGUCCAGACUCCUACGGGAGGCAGCAGUGGGGAAUCUUCCGCAAUGGGCGAAAGCCUGACGGAGCAACGCCGCGUGAGUGAUGACGGCCUUCGGGUUGUAAAACUCUGUGAUCCGGGACGAAAAGGCAGAGUGCGAAGAACAAACUGCAUUGACGGUACCGGAAAAGCAAGCCACGGCUAACUACGUGCCAGCAGCCGCGGUAAUACGUAGGUGGCAAGCGUUGUCCGGAAUUAUUGGGCGUAAAGCGCGCGCAGGCGGCUUCCCAAGUCCCUCUUAAAAGUGCGGGGCUUAACCCCGUGAUGGGAAGGAAACUGGGAAGCUGGAGUAUCGGAGAGGAAAGUGGAAUUCCUAGUGUAGCGGUGAAAUGCGUAGAGAUUAGGAAGAACACCGGUGGCGAAGGCGACUUUCUGGACGAAAACUGACGCUGAGGCGCGAAAGCGUGGGGAGCAAACAGGAUUAGAUACCCUGGUAGUCCACGCCGUAAACG
rnacentral:rRNA from 1 species